rnacentral:rRNA from 1 species
UACGUAGGGGGCAAGCGUUGUCCGGAAUUAUUGGGCGUAAAGAGCUCGUAGGCGGUUUGUCGCGUCUGCUGUGAAAACCUAAGGCUCAACCUUGGGCUUGCAGUGGGUACGGGCAGACUAGAGUGCGGUAGGGGUGACUGGAAUUCCUGGUGUAGCGGUGGAAUGCGCAGAUAUCAGGAGGAACACCGAUGGCGAAGGCAGGUCACUGGGCCGCAACUGACGCUUGAG